GCCAGCAGCCGCGGUAAUACGAAGGGACCUAGCGUAGUUCGGAAUUACUGGGCUUAAAGAGCACGUAGGUGGUUAAAAAAGUUGGUGGUGAAAUCCCAGAGCUUAACUCUGGAACUGCCAUCAAAACUUUUUAGCUAGAGUAUGAUAGAGGAAAGUAGAAUUUCUAGUGUAGAGGUGAAAUUCGUAGAUAUUAGAAAGAAUACCAAUUGCGAAGGCAGCUUUCUGGAUCAUUACUGACACUGAGGUGCGAAAGCAUGGGUAGCGAAGAGGAUUAGAUACCCUCGUAGUCCAUGCCGUAAACGAUGUGUGCUAGACGUUGGAAAUUUAUUUUCAGUGUCGCAGCGAAAGCAUUAAGCACACCGCCUGGGGAGUACGACCGCAAGGUUAAAACUCAAAUGAAUUGAC
rnacentral:rRNA from 1 species